GUUUAGAUUGAACCGUAGGGUACAACUACUUCAUGUUUUGUAUAGCGAUGGAGCCGCCAAGUGUGCGUAGGAUGUGUUAGGUUAGUUUGUGCGUGCUCGUUAUUUUGUUGUUGUUGUUGCUUUCUUCGUAGUCGGGGGUCGAUUGACCGUUUGGAAUUAUUACGCACUAUCCCUCAGGUGCGUCACCCUUCGCCGCCGGGCACACGCAACCCUUUUGCGGUGACCUUCCGUGGGCACUCGCGCGAAGAUUUUUGCAAAUAGCUGAUUCACGGAACAGCUGUUACAUGGUGAGUGCCACCGUUCGGUUCGGCAUCGGUAUGCGUGGAAUUGGGGAUCUGAAGCUGAAAGAGCGGCUUUGCGAGAAGUCAUCUCCGAGGUGUCUUUAUUUGUAUAUAGGUUCUCACUCUCACUCGCUCUCUUGCCUACUUUAUCAGUAAUAAAUGCGACGUUGUACUCGACACAGCGAUGCGUAGAUGGUGUCGUGGUGUCGCACUUUGCCAGUUUGAAACAGUCCGAGUGGAACCGAACGGACUCUCACGUUGGCACGGGUAGCGGAUUUGGGGGACCGCGGUGAGUGACCGCGUAUCAGUGCCGGGCGGUACGUCGAAAAAGUCUCGCGGUUACAGCACGCGAACGAACAGCUAACUCGGUCGUGGAGACACAUGUGUGUCUCGACACCAGGGACGUUGCGCGUUUGGUGUUGUGUUCGGAACGACACACCAGACACCGUCGUCUGGCCGAUCCGGCGUCGGGAAAUCGAGAAAAUCGAGCACCGACCGAAACGCGCUGCAUCCCGUCAACCUCCACCAAAAAAAAAAGAGCGGCGAGUCGAAAUGCUGCGCUCGGUAUCCUGCGGCUGUGACGUGGGAAGGGUGAUUAAUAGCGCGGAUGCAUCCACCCAUGUAGUGAGGCGGAAAAUGCGACAAGCAUUUAUACCAUAAACACACAAUCUACCACAAUUUGUCUAUUGCUGCCGUUGCCUGUUUAUUGCAUACGUUCGAGAUAAGUGGAAUUCUGGAAAUGCAGGGUUUUCUACAAGAGUAUUUGGCAUAACGUAAAUUGCUACAUGUUGUUUAAAAAUAAUAAUAAUCAAUAUUUAGUGUAUUUUUUCCUCAUAAAAACUGCAAAAAAAAUUAUAAAAUCUACCUCACCUUCUCCAAUACUCUCACCUUCACGAGGGUUUAACUAAUCAUUCAAUUAAACCAAAACAAAGGAAAGCAUUUAGUGUAAAGAUUGAUGUAAAACUACUUAUGCUCCCGCUUAGUGUGAGGACAUCUGUUCCAAAGCAAAAAAGGGUCCUGUGUAGAACAAGAAUUCAAAUGUCUGGUAGUUUAGAACGUUAAACUAUCUUAUUUGUUGCAAGUAUGUUUUAAAUACCAUUGUUGAAUAAAAAUAUAUUGGUAUUGUGUAAUGCAUUUUCGUAUUGCUUGUAGUUGUACUAAGAACUACAACUGGAACAAUACAUCUGAUAUACCAGCAUUUUUUGUCAUCUCCAGCAUAGAGUAAGAUAUUUUGACAGUUUUUUUUGCUCUACCUGAGGGUACAAUAAUGAAUGCGAAUUAUAUUUAUUUCCACAUAAAAUCCAUUGGCGACAUCCGGUUAAUUAUCUAUUUCAACUUUGUCGAGAUUGAAACUAAUAAACCCCAUGAGUUUCGAGCACUA